UAGAUACCCUGGUAGUCCACGCCGUAAACGAUGAGUGCUAAGUGUUGGAGGGUUUCCGCCCUUCAGUGCUGGAGUUAACGCAUUAAGCACUCCGCCUGGGGAUUACGACCGCAAGGUUGAAACUCAAAAGAAUUGACGGGGACCCGCACAAGCGGUGGAGCAUGUGGUUUAAUUCGAAGCAACGCGAAGAACCUUACCAGCUCUUGACAUCUUCUGCCACCUUCAGAGAUGAAGGGUUCCCUUCGGGGAC
rnacentral:rRNA from 1 species